rnacentral:snRNA from 1 species
GGAUGUGAGGGCGAUCUGGCUGCGACAUCUGUCACCCCAUUGAUCGCCAGGGUUGAUUCGGCUGAUCUGGCUGGCUAGGCGGGUGUCCCCCUCCUCCCUCACCGAUCCAUGUGCGUCCCUCCCGAAGCUGCGCGCUCGGUCGAAGAGGACGACCUUCCCCCCCGAGGAGAGGACCGGUCUUCGGUCAAGGGUAUACGAGUAGCUGCGCUCCCCUGCUAGAACCUCCAAACAAGCUCUCAAGAAAGGAAAUUCUUUAACUUAUUAUAUACACCCUAGAGGCCCAGUGCACAAAAUUCAUGCACUCGGGGGUCCCUC